GACAGAGGUGCCAAGCGUUAGGCGGAAUCACUGGGCUUAAAGCGUGUGUAGGCGGACUUCUAAGUGCCUUGUGAAAUCCCACGGCUCAACCGUGGAACUGCUGGGCAUACUGGGAGUCUUGGGCCAUUCAGGGGCAACUGGAACAAGCGGUGGAGCGGUGAAAUGCGUAGAUAUCGCUUGGAACGCCGAAGGUGAAAACAGGUUGCUGGGGAUGUGCCGACGCUGAGACACGAAAGCCAGGGGAGCAAACGGG
rnacentral:rRNA from 1 species